rnacentral:rRNA from 1 species
GACGAACGCUGGCGGCGUGCUUAACACAUGCAAGUCGAACGAAGUGGCGAACGGGUGCGUAACGCGUAAUCAACCUGCCCUUCAGCGGGGGACCACAGUUGGAAACGACUGCUAAUACCGAAUCCUGACGGAGGGGCUUGCGUCUGCUUCGCUAGUUGGAGGGGUAACGGCCCAACACGGCGAUGAUCAGUAGCCGGUCGGAGAGGAGGAAAGGCCACAUUGGGACUGAGACACGGCCCAGACUCCUACGGGAGGCAGCAGGGGGGAAUCUUCCGCAAUGGACGAAAGUCUGACGGAGCAACGCCGCGUGAGUGAUGACGGCCUUCGGGUUGUAAAGCUCUGUUAAUCGGGACGCGGUACCGGAAUAGAAAGCCACGGCUAACUACGUGCCAGCAGCCGCGGUAAUAC